rnacentral:misc_RNA from 1 species
GAUGAAGAACGUAGCGAAAUGCGAUAAGUAAUAUGAAUUGCAGAAUUCAGUGAAUCAUCGAAUCUUUGAACGCACAUUGCGCCCGCCAGUAUUCUGGCGGGCAUGCCUGUCUGAGCGUCAUUUCAACCCUCAUGCCCCUAGGGCGUGGUGUUGGGGAUCGGCCAAAGCCCGCGAGGGACGGCCGGCCCCUAAAUCUAGUGGCGGACCCGUCGUGGCCUCCUCUGCGAAGUAGUGAUAUUCCGCAUCGGAGAGCGACGAGCCCCUGCCGUUAAACCCCCAACUUUCCAAGGUUGACCUCAGAUCAGGUAGGAAUACCCGCUGAACUUAAGCAUAUCAAUAAGCGGAGGA